AGAGUGUGGCCCAAAGCUGCAUACAGGCAACUCCAAAGCUGCAUACAGGCAACAAAACACGACCACGCUGCAUCAAGAGAUGCAUGUAUGGUCUCAUGCCGGCAACCAAACAGCCCUGUAGCCACUACUGUAGGCAUACAACUCCCUCUUAUUGAAAAUCCCAUUUUCAACUCUGGGUAAGGAUCGAGCGGAUGAGCGUGGGCGGAUGAUGGCUUCCUUGGCUCCUGUAGCCACUACUGUAGCUCUUGCCUUCCCCAAUUCGAUUCCCACGCAUCGUCCAAUCGUCCAUCCUGAAUCAUCCCCUAGUCUUAUCCACACCAGCCAUCGAUUGCUACUCACCUGAUCUACCGAUCGAUCUGCUCUGCUCUAUCUGAGAUUGUAUCCUGCUCAAGUUUUGAUUGAAAAAUAGGUGAUCUACCGGUUCAUCCCCUUCUUCCUCCCCACCGAUUCCUCCAUUGAUUCUUUCAGCAUCUUGUCCGCACCCAUCCUCAUAUCGUCACUUGCUAUCUGCUUCUUGCAUAUCCAUCCGCAGUCAACUGCAUAUCAUCGCUCUCAUUGGUCUCACCUUGCAUCGAUGAUCUGGAAGAAAUUCUCCAACUUCCUCCCACAUCUAGACUGCAACUAGCUUGUGCAAUCUGCCAUCUUUCGCUCAUGCCAGAUCGAACAAAGUCUGUAGCAACGAGAGGAUACAUACCUCUGACUGAUGCAGACCUCGCAAGAGGAGUGACGAAGUCUAGAGCGACUCUGCAGGUGCUCAUGAGGCGGUUUGCUUUUGGCCUUCGGCUCCAUCAUGUGCUUGCCUUGCUACAAGGCACUUUGGAAUCUUGGCGUGGGAUCUUGGUGUGGGAUCCUGGCUAGGGAUCUUGCUAUGCAUCAGUUUGCAGCAAGCUCCAGCUCGCUGCACGCAAUAGGAGGGAGUGGUGUUCGGCGCCACGGGUGCCAUGAGUGUGUUUGGGUGGAACUGUCAAGGCAUGGGAGGUAGCCUUGGCAGCCCUAAAAUGCUCCACCUUCAGAGGUUGAUCUACUCUAGCAAAGCGCAGGUGACAAGAGAGGAAGGUGAUAGGUCCUACGGGGAAUGCUACCUAGGCGUUUUCCACAAGAGGUACCUAUGGUGGGUACAUGUAACUAGAAGAGGUCCCGGGGUAGAGUUUCUUUGUGGGCACAAAGCCUCGGCAUGGGAGGUGCUGUUUAGCACGGGGCGCGGGAUGUCCCGUCGAGCGGGGCAUCGAUUGGCCCCUCAUGAAGAAGUCUUGUUCGGUCACCUUAAGGACUGGUAUGUUCUGUGAACAAGGUCUUAGGAAGCCUUGCACCCCACUCGCUUUCAUGGGAGGGAGACAGAUGUACGACCAGCUAGGGCAUUGCCACUACUACUAAGUAGUUAGCAGAUAGUGUAGGGAGGUACGGGCAUGAGGAUCCACACCCUCCUAAGAUAGUGUAGUGACCUUUGAGGCCCGGUACUAUGCCUCACAAUCUCAGCAUGCCGGUGGUACUCUUCCCUAGGUUGGUGUUGGUUUCUGGCAAUGGCCGUUGAGGCAAGGCACGAGUGGGAGUCAUCCUUGCCGCCUAGAGAGUGAGAGUAUGGUGAGAUAUGUGUGAUGGGAUGGUAGAAUGUGUGGAUAAGAUGGAAUAAGACUUGAUGAAUUAUUAUAUUUAUUCAAAUAUUGUUGAACUUGCAUAGGAAGACUAUAGGCAUAUAUUGGCCUUUUGAUCUACCCUUGCAUUUCCACUUACCACAAAGCAACGCAAAAGCACAGGGUGGGAGCCAUGGCCAGUAGAAGUUGUACUGAUACUUUGGAUAACAGGUUAUGAAUCUGAGUAUGAUUCCAAAGGAGUUGAGAAGGAUUGGGUGGUCUCAUUCGUGCGCUUAAGUUUGGUUCGAAAAUAAAGGCUACGCCUGGCAAACUACGCCAACUCUAAUGAUUGCCCGUGAAGGAGGAGCCUUCACCGCUGAUGCGCUACUUCGACUCUAAUGAAGAUCUGCGUGUGUUUUCAUUAGAAAAAUGAUGUAAAUAGGUGUGUGUUGAUCAAGUGUUGUAAAUGUAUUGUAAUAUUGUAUUUCACGACGUAUGACUAUGAUAUCAGCUAUUAUAUUAUAAUGUGACCGGGAGGCAAUUUCAAUGA